UCCCGUAGCUGGGACUACAGGAAUGUGCCACGCCCAGGCACCAUCCCCUGCAGCUGUCUCCCCAGCGGCUCCCUCUCUUGCUGGACAGGCCUACCAUGAAAUCAGCCCUGGGAUCUGACAAUACUACCUCCUCCUGCCACCUACUUAAAAGUGUAAUAGUUUCCUGUGGUUGCUUCUCUGGGGAAGAAUUUCCCCUGGAUUCUUCUCAGUUUUUCCAUCACCUGUGCAACAGAUUCCUUGUAUCACAUUCUUUGUUUGAAGAAAUAAGUGUGGUUUCUGUUUUUCUAGUUGAAUUCAGCAGAUUUAUCCAUUUUGUGUUUUCGUAAGGGUCUUACCCUGCUUAGGGGAGAAGGAAUGAUUUUCACAGGAAAGCAGUCACAUUCAGUUUAGGAAUCUGCCUGUGCUUCCCCCGAUGGCUUUAGUAAUGUCAUUAUUUUUUCCACCUCUUACUCCCCAUGCUUGCUCCUCACCUCCCAUACCCAACCUGUGUCUCUCCUGCUUCCUCCAUUCUUAGAGCAUAUGACACCUAUCUUCUGGGGUCACAUCCCCAGAGGUACACAAUGAUUUGUUUUUGUUUAUUUUUAAAUUUCUUUUCAUAUAGUGUCCUUAACAAGAAUGUCACUGCUGUAGGAUAGGAUAGCAAAAGAGCACUGGGUUUUUCAUUCAGAAUGUGAAUCAGUGUGGCUUGUUUGAAUCCUAUAGCCUUGUCCUGCACAACAGUGCCCUUGAUAGCAGAACAGGAAAAAAGAUAAUUUCACCACAAAUCUAUGAGGAGAAAAUGAGAUGAAACAUAUGAAAGGAUUGUGCAAAAGAUAAAAGGCUAAAAGAAAAUAAAAAGAAAAGGCCAGGUAUGGUGUUUCAUGCCUAUAAUCCCAGCAUUGUGGGAGCCCAAGGCAGGAGGAUCACUUGAGCCCAGGAGUUCAAUAUCAGCCUGGGCAGCAUAGAGAGGUCCUGUCUGUAUUUAAAAAAAAUUUUUUUUAACGAUAAAAUGCUAAGCAAAUAAGAAGUUAUUAUUUUGAAAUAGUAAAUAAGCCUAAAUUAGUUGUUUUCCUUGAAACAAUUGUAAUUUUAAAAGUUACCACAAAGGUAUUUCUCAACUAGAAUUUAUACAGAAGCUUAACAACAUCACAGUCUUGAUUUAACACAUGAUUUCUCAAUCUCAGUUCUAUUGACCUUUGAGGUUGGAUAAUUCUUUGUUGUAGGGAGCUGUCUUGUGCAUUGUAAGAUUUUUGGUGGCAUCUCUACCAGUAGCACCCACCUGUCUAGUUAUAACAAAACAUUUCUCAACAUUGCCAAAUGUCCCCUAGGAAAAAAAAAAAAA
rnacentral:lncRNA from 1 species